rfam:Schistosoma margrebowiei strain Zambia genome assembly, scaffold: SMRZ_scaffold0000513
GGACCUUCUGUAUCCUUGCUAAAAUUUCGUCACACACCAGACCACAAGGGCUGAUGGGACUCCCAAGAUAAGUGAGUCA